UUAUAAAAGAAGGGGUGCUGCACCAAUUGCGGCUGAGAGAAAGAUGUAUGGAUCUUUUAACCCUAAACCUGAUCCGGGUAAUGCCGGCGGAGGGAUCUGUCAUAGGAUUUGC
rfam:Clostridium sp. CAG:242 genomic scaffold, scf226